CGGGGUGUAGCGCAGUCUGGUAGCGUACUUGCAUGGGGUGCAAGUGGUCGUUGGUUCAAAUCCAAUCACCCCGA
rnacentral:tRNA from 1 species